rnacentral:tRNA from 1 species
GCCCUCAUAGUUCAACGGAUAGAACGUGAGCUUCCGGAGCUCAAGAUGUGGGUUCGAUUCCUGCUGAGGGCACAA